UUCUAUAACCUCCAGCUACACCAGUUCAGCCAUGCCAGGUCAUCCCACAGCCAUGUGGAGUUGGUGUUGACCCAUGCCAACAAUCUGGAGGUGGUGCUGGAGGAAUAGCUGGAGGAUUUGGCAGCGGAGCACAAGGCAUUGUUGACCCAUGCCAACUUUCCGGUGGAGUUUCUAUUGGAACUGGCGGAGGAUAUGGAGGGCAAGAUGUUGAUCCAUGCCAACAUACAGGUGGUGGAUUUGGUGGUGGAGCACAAGUUA